UAUAUGAGACUAAAACGGAGAAAAACACACAAAAGAUGGCAAAAUAGAAGAUGACUCGUGAGACCAAUUAAUCAACAGAGAAAACAGCAAGGAGAAUAUGAAAAUCUAUUUCAAGAAUUAAAAACUGAUGAAGACAUGUUGUCAAAUAUAUAAGGAUGAAUGUUUAACAUUUUAAUAAGUUAUUAACCAUGCUAAGAUCUUAUUUGGUAAAAAAACUAGAAAGCUCUGUCUCCGGAACACAGGUUAAUAAUAUAUUAAGAUUUCGGAACGCGUCCCAACUUCAGGAGAGAGACAACCACUGCUUUAGAGAUACUCAAGGGAGAGCAAAGCAUGUCUGAUUUCUGAUUGGUGCCGCCAUAUUUUGACUAAACCGGAAACAUGUGAUGCUACCGGGCAUUUCAAAUUUCAGUAGCAUAAUAAGAUUUUGUAGUCAAAAAGU